rnacentral:rRNA from 1 species
GAUGUUCGCACCUGUAGGUAUAGCCAGCUAACCCUUGUCUAUUUCUACCAUUUGUGAAUCCCUCGGCAGGGACGCCUGCCGCCGGGACCCCUAAACUCUUCUGUAUAAAAAGCAUCAAAAAUUUCUGAACCUAAUUAAAAUUAUUACAACUUUCAACAAUGGAUCUCUUGGUUCUGGCAUCGAUGAAGAACGCAGCGAAAUGCGAUAAGUAGUGUGAAUUGCAGACUUUAGUGAAUCAUCGAAUCUUUGAACGCACAUUGCGCCCCUUGGUAUUCCAUUGGGCAUGCCUGUUCGAGCGUCAUUUAACCCUUCAAGCAUUGCUUGGUGUUGGGUGUUUGUUUAUGCCGAUGGCGUGGACUCGCCCUAAAAGUAUUGGCAGCGGUUUGCCAGCCUCUCGCGCAGCACUUUGCGCUCUUUGAGGUUUUGGCGGGCUUGACUUCCAUCAAGAUCUUUACUAUUUUGACCUCGAAUCAGGUAGGGAUACCCGCUGAACUUAAGCAUAUCAAUAAGCGGAGGAAAAGAAACCAACAGGGAUUGCCCUAGUAACGGCGAGUGAAGCGGCAAUAGCUCAAAUUUGAAAUCUGGCUUCCUUGGAAGUCCGAGUUGUAAUUUGCAGAGGGCGCUUUGGCGUCGGUAGCGGUCUAAGUUCCUUGGAACAGGACGUCACAGAGGGUGAGAAUCCCGUACGUGGUCGACUACCUUCACCGUGUAAAGCCCCUUCGACGAGUCGAGUUGUUUGGGAAUGCAGCUCUAAAUGGGAGGUAAAUUUCUUCUAAAGCUAAAUACUGGCCAGAGACCGAUAGCGCACAAGUAGAGUGAUCGAAAGAUGAAAAGCACUUUGGAAAGAGAGUCAAACAGCACGUGAAAUUGUUGAAAGGGAAGCGCUUGCCGCCAGACGUGCCCGUGGUGGUUCUCCUCCGCGGGCAGGCCAGCAUCAGUUUGGGCGAUCGGAUAAAGGCCUCUGUCAUGUAUCUCCCUUCGGGGUGACCUUAUAGGGGAGGCGUAAUGCGAUCAGCCCGGACUGAGGUCCGCGCAUCUGCUAG